rnacentral:rRNA from 1 species
CAGCAGCCGCGGUAAUGCGUAGGUGGCAAGCGUUGUCCGGAAUUACUGGGCGUAAAGGGCUCGCAGGCGGUUUCUUAAGUCUGAUGUGAAAGCCCCCGGCUCAACCGGGGAGGGUCAUUGGAAACUGGGAAACUUGAGUGCAGAAGAGGAGAGUGGAAUUCCACGUGUAGCGGUGAAAUGCGUAGAGAUGUGGAGGAACACCAGUGGCGAAGGCGACUCUCUGGUCUGUAACUGACGCUGAGGAGCGAAAGCGUGGGGAGCGAACAGGAUUAGAUACCCCAGUAGUCCCUGUCUCUUAUAC